rnacentral:lncRNA from 1 species
GGUAUUUGGAAAGGAGCUAAAUAACCUGGAGUGCUGGUAUUCUAAAUUGCUGGCUGAGGGCCCAUCCAUAUGCUUUGGAACUGAGACCAGCAAGGAGCGAGGAAUUCCUUCUGUGACAUUGCUGAAACUGAUCAUCCACCCACGACUUGAACUUUUGCAGCUCUGGAGAACUUAUUACUUCAGGGAAAGCUGAGAUCUACAGUCUGAACUAGACCGAACACGGCUCUGGGCCUCAGGGCAAACGUACUACAAGAGAGAAGAAUGAAUAAAUAUUUCCUCAUUACAUUAGCUCCAUCCAAGUGUGCGGAUCUGGAUCCCCUGCAUCUAAGAUUACUUAAGACAAAGUUUUAAAUCGCUCCAGGGAUGCUGCUAUCCUGUUAACCCUUUUUUGAGACUGAAGAAUGGCAGAUGACUGAGAAGUGAAAGGGUAAGUCUGGUUUUAUAUGUAUACAAAAUCAUUGGCUGAAAAGACCAGUUGAUACAGAUCCAGAAGAAAGAAGCAGCCUACUGAAUUACAUACAGACAGCCUUGAAAAUGUGUUUUCAGACUAGACUUUCCUGUGCUACUCUGAGAAUCACAGACUAGAGAGAGUGUCUCAGAAUCACAGAGUAAGCAAGCACUGGAACUGGAAGGGACCCUGGAGAUAUGUAUUCUUCCUAUAAAUUGGUCCACAAACUGUUUUUAGCCUCAUAACCUUUUUUUCC